rnacentral:rRNA from 1 species
UACGUAGGUGGCAAGCGUUGUCCGGAUUUACUGGGCGUAAAGAGCGCGCAGGCGGUCGUCCAAGUCGCGUGUGAAAGCCCCCGGCUCAACUGGGGAGGGUCACGCGAUACUGGUCGACUCGAAGGCAGGAGAGGGUACUGGAAUUCCUGGUGUAGCGGUGAAAUGCGCAGAUAUCAGGAGGAACACCGAUGGCGAAGGCAGGUCUCUGGGCCACUACUGACGCUGAGAAGCGAAAGCAUGGGGAGCGAACAGG